GGGUUGUGAGGUUAAGCGACUAAGCGUACACGGUGGAUGCCCUGGCAGUCAGAGGCGAUGAAGGGCGUGCUAAUCUGCGAUAAGCGCCGGUAAGGUGAUAUGAACCGUUAUAACCGGCGAUACCCGAAUGGGGAAACCCAGUGUGACUCGUCACACUAUCAUUAACUGAAUCCAUAGGUUAAUGAGGCGAACCGGGGGAACUGAAACAUCUAAGUACCCCGAGGAAAAGAAAUCAACCGAGAUUCCCCCAGUAGCGGCGAGCGAACGGGGAGGAGCCCAGAGCCUGAAUCAGCAUGUGUGUUAGUGGAAGCGUCUGGAAAGGCGCGCGAUACAGGGUGACAGCCCCGUACACAAAAGCGCAUGUGCUGUGAGCUCGAUGAGUAGGGCGGGACACGUGGUAUCCUGUCUGAAUAUGGGGGG
rnacentral:rRNA from 1 species